CCCCUAGAUGUUCUGGGCCGCACGCGCGCUACACUGAACAGUUCAACAAGUCUUAACCUUGGCCGAUAGGUCUGGGUAAUCUUUGAACGCUGUUCGUGAUUGGGAUAGACCUUUGCAAUUAUGGGUCUUCAACGAGGAAUUCCUAGUAAACGCAAGUCAUCAGCUUGCAUUGAUUACGUCCCUGCCCUUUGUACACACCGCCCGUCGCACCUACCGAUUGAAUGGUCCGGUGAAAUUUCGGGACGGCGGCUUGGUCGCUUGCGUCCGACUGCUGAAACUUGAUUAAACCAUAUCAUUUAGAGGAAGGUGAANUCGUAACA
rnacentral:rRNA from 1 species